rnacentral:rRNA from 1 species
GUGGGGAAUAUUGGACAAUGGGCGAAAGCCUGAUCCAGCCAUGCCGCGUGUGUGAAGAAGGUCUUCGGAUUGUAAAGCACUUUAAGUUGGGAGGAAGGGCAUUAACCUAAUACGUUAGUGUUUUGACGUUACCGACAGAAUAAGCACCGGCUAACUUCGUGCCAGCAGCCGCGGUAAUACGAAGGGUGCAAGCGUUAAUCGGAAUUACUGGGCGUAAAGCGCGCGUAGGUGGUUUUGUAAGUUGGAGGUGAAAUCCCCGGGCUCAACCUGGGAACUGCCUCCAAAACUGCAUGACUAGAGUACGGUAGAGGGUAGUGGAAUUUCCUGUGUAGCGGUGAAAUGCGUAGAUAUAGGAAGGAACACCAGUGGCGAAGGCGACUACCUGGACUGAUACUGACACUGAGGUGCGAAAGCGUGGGGAGCAAACAGGAUUAAAACCCCUGUAGUCC